rnacentral:rRNA from 1 species
UACGUAGGGUGCGAGCGUUGUCCGGAAUUAUUGGGCGUAAAGAGCUCGUAGGCGGUUUGUCGCGUCGACUGUGAAAACCCGAGGCUUAACCUCGGGCCUGCAGUCGAUACGGGCAGACUAGAGUUCGGUAGGGGAGACUGGAAUUCCUGGUGUAGCGGUGAAAUGCGCAGAUAUCAGGAGGAACACCGGUGGCGAAGGCGGGUCUCUGGGACGGUACUGACGCUGAGACGCGAAAGCGUGGGGAGCGAACAGG